GAUCCCAAUGAGGCCCACAUCGCCCUCCUCUCUGCCCAUUCCAGUGCCGCCGUUGGGCUUUGCCAUCGACAUGAGCUUGCCGGCGCCCGUGUGCCUGGACGACUUCGAGGAGGCGGCGCGGGCAAAGCUUCCGCGCGCCGUUUACGAUUACUACCGCUCCGGGGCCGACGGCGAGGUCACGCUCCGGGACAACGUGGCGGCCUUCUCCAGGUGGCGGCUGCGGCCGCGUGUGCUGCGUGGGGUCACCACGGUGGACACUCGCGUCUCGGUGCUGGGCCGCUCGCUCAGCUUCCCCGUGGCCGUGGCGCCGACGGCGAUGCAGCGCAUGGCCCACCCGGACGGGGAGCUGGCGACGGCGCGUGCGUGCGCUGCGCUCGGCACGGGCAUGCAGCUGAGCUCGUGGGCGACGGCGAGCGUGGAGGAGGUGGCGGCCGCCGUCCCGAGCAGCGGCGCCCCCCCUCCUGUGCGCUGGCUGCAGCUCUACGUGUACCGGGACCGCGACGCCACUGAGGCGCUGGUGCGGCGCGCGGAGCGCGAGGGCUAUGGCGCCAUCUUCCUCACCGUCGACACGCCGCGGCCCGGCCGGCGCCUUGCCGACGAGCGCAACCGCUUCUCCAUGCCCGAUCACCUGCGGCUGGCCAACUUCACGUCGCCCGAGCUGUCGGAGUUGGACAAGCAGAGUGGCGGAGGCGGGUCUGGGCUCGCGACGUAUGUGACGCGCGCCAUCGAGCCGGGCCUCAGCUGGGAGCACGUGUCGUGGCUGCGCUCGCUCACCGCCCUGCCCGUGGUGCUCAAAGGCAUCCUGACAGCCGAGGAUGCGAAGGAGGCGGUACGACAUGGAGUCAACGGCAUCGUGGUGUCCAACCACGGCGCUCGGCAGCUGGACGGAGUCGCAGCCACACUGGACGCGCUGCCCGAGGUGGUGGCGGCGGUGGGCGGGCAGGUGGAGGUGUACCUGGACGGAGGCGUGCGCCGUGGCACCGACGUGCUCAAGGCCCUGGCGCUCGGGGCCCGUGCCGUGUUCGUCGGGAGGCCCGUCGUGUGGGGUCUCGCGUACAAUGGUGAAGAGGGAGUGAAAAAAGUCCUAACCAUGAUUCGAGAAGAGUUUCUUCUGGCUAUGGCUCUUGCAGGCUGCCACUGCAUCACCGACAUCAACUCUUCUCUGCUCAUGCGGGAAGUGGCCUGCGCCGCCAGGCUCUAGAGAAGAGGGUGGCAUUGCUCCGUGUGGCUUCACGCUGCCGAUGGCCACAGCCUCUAUGUGGUCCACGAGGCUGCUGUUCCUGGCUAUGCUGCACGAUAUCGAUUCCCAGCCGCGGCUAACAUCAGUGGCGUUUGGCAUCUGAACCUGCCUUGGAUCUGCCUUUGGUCGACUCAGCUUUUAGGUGAGUCUUUGGCACGGUGUAUGUACAUUAGCACUGUGGAGAAAAAGGUGCUGUCGGGCGUGCGUUGUACUCAGCCACGCCAAUCCCUCGUGUGCCGUUAAAAGGUGCUCGCUAACUAUAUUUACCCUGACGAUCUAUAAGGCUAAACGGAAUAACCAUGUCUUUGUGUGUCUGUGUGUGUUCUUAAAUGCGGAAUGCUGAUGUUUGCGUUUUCGCUACAUAAUAAAGCCGAAUGUCUUGUUGUGCACGCGUGCGUCUAUGUGGACAUGACACAGAUCCCGUAGAAAUCCGCGGAAGCCCUGAAAACUCAUCAAGGCACAGAAACGCAACCCCUCCGUUGCUGCCAUUAUCACUGUCUGGAGAAGUUCUAGAGACCAUCCUUACAUCUCCAUCGCUUCCUUCUUUCUGCCAGAUCGAGCAAUUGUUGCACAUGCCAAUUGAUAAAACAGCCAAAUGCUCACCUGUCCGGGUGUGACCCGGACAGGUGAGCAUCUGUGUUGGCGUGGCAGAAAUGUACUUGUACCGAGACCUGGUACCAGUCGUGUGUAGAACAUUAUUUAAGUUUAUUUAACAGUGUUAAUAGACCUAGGUUGAGAAACACGUCCUGGUUUGAGCUGUUGAAAAGUUGACGAUCCUAGGAGGGGACCAUGAAAGGAAAUCCAUUUCUACGAAUGCCAGACGGACCAAAUUCAACUUCUAAUCAUCCUUAAGGAUGCUGAAUGAGCAGCAUAAUUGACCCCAUCUCGACAACAGCGUCGUUGUCCCCACUAUGUAACCUGUCCAUCACUCGAUGUAAGAAGCCAUCUAUUGAGGCAAUGGUCCUUCAUCAGAGCAAAGGAACGAGCCACUCCAAACUCCCAGUCGCCUAAUAUCCUUUCACUUUCACGGCACGGGAUGGGUCAAUACUGUGUCCACGCUGUCUACGCUCGAAGCUUGCAGGGCCAUUCCCCUCAACGUUAACUCUGAAAUCAUUCUCUUUGGUUUUUUCGGUAAAGUCACGUAGGUAAAAUUAAAUUAAAAGAAAACAACUAAAUUAAAUCACGACGUUUCGGAGGCAACACAAGCUUCCGUCUUCAGGUGGAACAGACACAGCAAAGAUUGCUGUAUCAAGAAAUUAUUCGCAGAACCUUUGCCCGUCCAGUCCAGGGUCACAGGGGCAUCUGACCGCACGCGCUGGACAGUGCGAGAUGUUGAUAGGUACGGGGUACGGUGGCGUGGAUUAUCGACUGUCAAUGAACACCAUCAAGCUGUGAAACUCCACCGUGACCACAACCGUUUCACCACGCGGCCGGCUACGGGCAGCAGCACCCCACAAGCGCCCUGAGUCACCACGUGGCAGGGCAGUGGAGGGCGAGCCGAACCAAGAAGCUACCAGUCACAAAUGCUUUGCAGUUGUAUUAAAAUUACGAUAAUUAUAAUAUAACUACGGUUUAGAAAUAAAAUAACGCCGUUCGUCGGACGGUCUGAUAUACCCUUGAGUGCAGAUGAAUAGAUGUCCAGAGUGUUGAUUGACACAAGAUAGCAAACACGAACUGUACUUGACAUAGCUCCUGUAGUUUCACUCCACCGUCGUAGAUUCUGUAUCCACGAGUGACAAACAAUACUCGACGGGAAGAAGAAAUUGUGACCACACAUCGUAACAAUGUAGUCGUGUAGCAGUGAACCACGACAUCCAUAGCAGCAUCCUCUUUGCUGUACUGCCCACCUGCUAAUCACCUCGCCAUCUACUCAAGCACACUACACAGCAAUCUCUACGUGAUCCGCCAACCCUGUUUGGCUCGAGCCUGCUGCGGGUUAUGCACUAAAUGAUAGAAAACAAUUGCGCUCAAUGUCCGGUGCAAGGCCAAGGAAUGUGGAACUUCCGCGCAUUUCUCCUCCUGGCCAUGAUUCACCAACAGCAGCUGCGCCGAGAACGCCGCGCUGGCGAUGGGUCGGGCGCUCUUUGUUUUAAGCCGCGCCGGGCGCUCUGGGACGACGUGGAACUGCUGACGAAACACUCCUUAAGCUGCACUCUCUAUUGCUGCACUCUCUAUUGCUGCACUCUCUAUUCUCGCCCCCACUCCUCGCCUCUCUCCGUUCUCCCUGAUGAGCAAAACACCCUCUACCCACCCGCUCAGUCGCACGCCUCGAAAAUAUUUCUGCAUGGAUAAAUAAAUAAAUAUGCAACUAUAUAUACGUACUUCGUGGGUAUGUACAUUAGUACUUUGUGGGUAUGUACUAUAGUACUUCGUGGGUAUGUAGACGACCAGGUGGAUCGUCUGAAUCGACCUACGGGAAUCCCAGGCCCGCCGUGAAGAUUGGGAAUCGAACUCGAGUCGCCGCUCUCAAAGAUCCCCCAUAUAAUAUUAACAAACUGUUGGGGAAAGUGCCAUUAGCGAGUACCUAUGAAGGCCGGAACGGUACACGAGGGGGUGGGUGGCCAGGACCACGUCCGUCUGACCGCCUUUGUCCACGGGCGGUGUUAUGUACAUGUACAUAUCGCACUGGGUACUCAUUUGGUGUUAUGUACAUAUUGCACUGGGUACUCAUUCGGUGUUAUGUACAUAUCCCACUGGGUACUCAUUUGGUGUUAUGUACAUAUCGCACUGGGUACUCAUUUGGGGUUAUGUACAUAUUGCACUGGGUACUCAUUUGGGGUUAUGUACAUA